rnacentral:rRNA from 1 species
GACGAACGCUGGCGGCGUGCUUAACACAUGCAAGUCGAACGGAAAGGCCCUGCUUUUGUGGGGUGCUCGAGUGGCGAACGGGUGAGUAACACGUGAGUAACCUGCCCUUGACUUUGGGAUAACUUCAGGAAACUGGGGCUAAUACCGGAUAGGAGCUCCUGCUGCAUGGUGGGGGUUGGAAAGUUUCGGCGGUUGGGGAUGGACUCGCGGCUUAUCAGCUUGUUGGUGUAGUGGCUUACCAAGGCUUUGACGGGUAGCCGGCCUGAGAGGGUGACCGGCCACAUUGGGACUGAGAUACGGCCCAGACUCCUACGGGAGGCAGCAGUGGGGAAUAUUGCACAAUGGGCGAAAGCCUGAUGCAGCAACGCCGCGUGCGGGAUGACGGCCUUCGGGUUGUAAACCGCUUUCGCCUGUGACGAAGCGUGAGUGACGGUAAUGGGUAAAGAAGCACCGGCUAACUACGUG